UACGGGGGGGGCAAGCGUUGUUCGGAAUUACUGGGCGUAAAGUGUGCGCAGGCGGCCGCGCAAGUCGAGUGUGAAAGCCCCGAGCUUAACCUGGGAAUUGCGCUCGAAACUACGUGGCUGGAGUGUGGCAGAGGAAGGUGGAAUUCCAGGUGUAGCGGUGAAAUGCGUAGAGAUCUGGAGGAACACCGAUGGCGAAGGCAGCCUUCUGGGCCAACACUGACGCUCAUGCACGAAAGCGUGGGGAGCAAAAGGG
rnacentral:rRNA from 1 species